AACUCCGCUGAGGUCUCACAGACGCGAUCUCUCCCUUUCCCCUUUCUUCAAUCCCUAAUCUCCUACAUCGAUCAUCAAACGUUUGCUCUUCCUUUUCUCUGUUCUUCCUACAUCGAUCAUGAAACCUUUCCUCUUCCUUUUCUCUGUUCCGUUUCGCGAUCUGAACGUCGAUCAUUCAAUACAACCUCCACUUCGUUUUACCCUUUACUCUCAUUUAUGGGUUUUAUGUUUUGUCCUUCUGAUUCUACAAUUCUCUCUACCACACUGCAAUGAGUUCCAACGGAAAAUCCAUGGUAUCUGGAUCUGCUCAUGGUUGACAUUAACUUCGCUGAGAAUUGAUGAUGAUGCAACUUAAUUGACGCAACAGCCUUUUCUACUAAACACUUCAAUUAUUCACUCUCAACUAGGAGUACUUGACAGGUGUGUGUCCUUCACUGUGAGUGUGUUCGACUCUCAGGCUGUAUCAUUCACAAGUAACUUGAAGGCUACAAGGUUGAUCCACGUGUGGCUGUGGCAAAAUUCAUUAAUCCGGAGCUUAUAGGAGGUCGUAUGUUCCUCAAUGCCACGUCUGGAUCUCAUUUCUAUUUUGACAAGGAGACUGAAGCAGGCGAGAGCUACUUUUACGAGUAUGUACUAACGUUCAUAUUUUAUUCCAUCAUUAUAUUUCAGGGGUUACUCUCAUCAAUGCAGGUUGGUCACAAAUGACGACACUGGAAAUACAUCAGCAGCUUCAUUGUUGAGAGGUUAUGCUAAGGUUGAACGACUGACAAUAGCUGAGAUGAACCAGUUUAUCAUCAUAGUCGAGCCUGAAGUUCACUUGGCGACCUUAAUAUGUUUGUCUCCACCAUCAUUCUAAGCUCUGUUUAUGGUUGCAACGUUUAUAAUUGCAGAUAAUAGAAUUUACCUGCAGUAGGAAAGUCACAUCUGUCAAGACAGAAAAUGGAUGAUGCAACAUAUCUUUCUUCAAGUGUUGAAGGAAAUUACAGAGGAGUGCCUCAUCUUUUGCAUGCAUGUUCUGCAAUCGGACUAAUGCCGUUGGUGUUCUCAGGUACACAGCCACUCCAUCGUUUUCUUAUAAAUAUAUAUGCAUGUAACUACCGCAUUGCACCCUGUUUAUUAGGUAACGUGUCGAGAUGACUGUUGCCGAUGACACUGGCGAAGCAGCUUUUGUAAGUUUCGAUGGUGAAAUAACAAAGCUUACCAAUAUCCUGGCUGCUGAUGCUGUUCAUCUUCUGGCAGGAGAAGGAGAGAACCCAGAAGAUAUCUAGCUCACACAUUUUAUUGCUAACCUUGCUGGCAAUACUUUCACUUCCACAUUUCAGUGCAAAGCAUCAAACCUUCACCGUCUCACGCAUCCUGGAUGAGCGUGAACGUGCGCCAGUUCCUGAUUGUGUUACUGAUGAGGGUAGCAAUGGACCUGAAGAUGACAUGCAUGGUUACAGCUCUCUCCCAACCAAGGUGAUCGUUGGUAAUAAUGAAAAGGAGAACUCACCAGGUUCAGAAACGACUUCGAGUGGCGUCAUCAACACAUAAAACCUCGGGACCCAGCGUCUACCAAGCUGACUAAGAAGCCAUGAGCUGCUUAGGUGCAAAGUUUGCAGUAUCUUGACAUAUUAGUUGCUUUUAUAAUAAUGCUUACACAUAAAUGUGGUUUGAAUUCAAACUAUCCAACUCUGUUAUUCAGACAGUUUUAUGAAUUAUGUUCAAGUUCAAAGUUAUUUAUGUUUCUUUCUCAAUUUUUUUUUUAUGUUUCUGUUCCUCCGGUAUGGUUUUAGUUAUCAUUGCACUGUUUCUGAGAAUGCUUCUAAUGUUACGAAUACUUUUUUGACAUAUUAGCAGCGAAGAAAAUAAUAUCGAGAUUUUAAAUAAACAUUUUGCUUUCGUUCGAACCAAUAAGCCUGAGGUGUUCAAACAGAGCCUUUCUCGCCCUCUGUACACAAAUGAAAAAAGUGCAGAAUAUACGGUUGAGAAUCUAAGGCCAUAUGAGACAAAGUUAUGAUUUUAGCUGGGACAAGACUUAUUAUCUGCAAAAGUUUUUUCACUUUGGGACAAGUUAAAGGGUUUAUAAGCUAGACACAGAGACAAAUGAGAAAGUAUGGGCAUCACUGAUAUACCAAUUGAGGAGGACGAAGAGAGAAGAUGCGAUUAGAAUGAAGAAGCCAACGUGACGCCUGGAGCUAGAGAAGAAUAUUCCACUACUUUCAAGCACUCCACAUCAAAAAAAUCCCAACAGAUCUAGACGCUUCUUCUGCAAAAAGUCCAGCAUCCUUUUUAUGAAAUCCACUUUUCUGUUUUAAGACCUUAGUUUCUGCUUUUAGUAAUGAUAAUAAUUUUCCUCUGCA